rnacentral:rRNA from 1 species
UUCCCCUUAUCCUACCGGGCCGUCCCAUGCUUGCAUGGGAGCGAUCCUGCUAAAAUCAGUACAUAGGAGAGCCUUACGGCUCUCUCCCUGCAUAUGUGUAAAUCGGAAACGGACAAUCCACCGAACCUUAACGGACCCAAAUAACAGAGGGAACUGAACCACACAUAAAACGACCGGAAAAACACCCAAACAAACAACCGUUACCCCUACACAGGUAUGCUCUCAGGGAAAGACUAAAAGAAAGAGAAGGAACUCGGCAAACACUUAGCCUCGCCUGUUUACCAAAAACAUCGCCUCUUGCCAAAAUGAAAGUAUAAGAGGUCCCGCCUGCCCUGUGACUAUAUGUUUAACGGCCGCGGUAUUUUGACCGUGCGAAGGUAGCGCAAUCACUUGUCUUUUAAAUAAAGACCUGUAUGAAUGGCAUCACGAGGGCUCAACUGUCUCCUCUUUCAAGUCAAUGAAAUUGAUCUCCCCGUGCAGAAGCGGGGAUAAACACAUAAGACGAGAAGACCCUAUGGAGCUUUAGACACUAAAGCAGACCGACAUUAAGACCCCAGACACGGGACACAAAUAAAUUGGGGCCUGCCCUAAUGUCUUUGGUUGGGGCGACCGUGGAGAACAAUAAAACCUCCACAAGGACCGAAUGUAUAGCAUUCACAACCAAGAACGACAGUUCUAAUUAACAGAAUUUCUGACCAAUAAGAUCCGGCAACGCCGAUCAAUGAACCGAGUUACCCUAGGGAUAACAGCGCAAUCUCCUCUUAGAGUCCAUAUCGACGAGGAGGUUUACGACCUCGAUGUUGGAUCAGGACAUCCUAAUGGUGCAGCCGCUAUUAAGGGUUCGUUUGUUCAACGAUUAAAGUCCUACGUGAUCUGAGUUCAGACCGGAGCAAUCCAGGUCGGUUUCUAUCUAUGUAAUGAUCUUUUCUAGUACGAAAGGACCGAAAAGAGGGGGCCCAUGUUUAAGACAUGCCUCACCCCCACCUAAUGAAAGCAGCUUAAUCAGGUAAGGGGGCAACGCCCCCUUGUCUGAGAAAAUGACAUGUUGGGGUGGCAGAGCCCGGUAAUAUUGCAAAAGGCCUAAGCCCUUUGUACAGAGGUUCAAAUCCUCUCUCCAACUAUGAUCUCAACGCUUUUCACCCACAUUAUUAACCCUUUAGCCUACAUUGUUCCCGUCCUCCUAGCCGUAGCCUUCCUCACACUAGUGGAGCGAAAAGUCCUGGGAUAUAUACAAUUUCGAAAAGGCCCAAACAUUGUUGGCCCCUACGGCCUUCUACAACCAAUCGCCGAUGGCGUAAAAUUAUUUACCAAAGAACCUAU